rnacentral:rRNA from 1 species
AUAGCGUAUAUUAAAGUUGUUGCAGUUAAAAAGCUCGUAGUUGAAUUUCGGGACUAAUAUGUCGGUCGUGCCUCGGUACGUACUGGUUUAUUGGUUUCUCCUUUCUGAAGAACCAUGAUGUCAUUUAUUUGGUGUCGUGGGGAAUCAGGACUGUUACUUUGAAAAAAUUAGAGUGUUUAAAGCAGGCUCACGCUUGAAUACAUUAGCAUGGAAUAAUGAAAUAGGACGUUUGAUUCUAUUUUGUUGGUUUCUAGGAUCGACGUAAUGAUUAAUAGGGAUAGUUGGGGGCAUUAGUAUUCAAUUGUCAGAGGUGAAAUUCUUGGAUUUACUGAAGACUAACUACUG